AUAGAAUAGUUUCCGAAUGCCAGCAAAUAUAAGUCCAUUAACUAUUUAAUCAUUCGUAUUUUACUUUUCCCAUAACCAUUUUAAGGAAGACACGUGCGUUUGGAUCGGCAUUUUCGAAUUUUGGAAUAUUUUUAUAUCUUUGAACUCUAUAUACAGCUCAUUUUUGUUAGUUGGCGUAUAUCAUUAAUAUAGAAGCUUAUCAUGUUUGAAAAAGGAAGAUUAAUUUGGAUUCAGGAACCUACUGUGCAAAGUACAAAUGCAAAAGAAAGAAGAAUAAUUUGGAUUCAGACACCACCUACAUCUAAUACAAAAACUAAAGAAAGAAGAAUAAUUUGGAUUCAGACACCACCUACAUCUAAUACAAAAACUAAAGGUACCUAAAAAUCAAAAUAUUUGCCCCUUUUUUAAAAAGUACGGAUAAUCAACAAAAGGAGAAGAGGAUUUUAUGAUUGCUGGAUCCAAUAGUAUCCGAUUGGAAUUAGGAGCAAAUCCGACUGCUUUAUAUUUCGAAUAAAUUCUCAGUGUUAAUUUGUUUUUUUUUUUUUAAAUUGAAAGUCCAAAUA